rnacentral:misc_RNA from 1 species
AAGUCGUAACAAGGUUUCCGUAGGUGAACCUGCGGAAGGAUCAUUAUUGAAACAACACCCGGUGGUUGGUUGUCGCUGGCCUUUCGAGGCAUGUGCACGCCUUCAACCGAAAAUCCUUCUCACCACUUGUGCACCUUCGCGUGGGUCCCUUCGGGUUUCACGAUCCGUUGUGGGCUUGCGCUUUUUCUACACACCUGUAUGUCAGAUGAAUGUCAUUGUACAGUAAUUAUGUACCAAGUAUAACUUUCAACAACGGAUCUCUUGGCUCUC